rnacentral:rRNA from 1 species
GAUGAACGCUAGCUACAGGCUUAACACAUGCAAGUCGCGGGGCAGCAUGGGGGUUGCUUGCAAUCCCUGAUGGCGACCGGCGCACGGGUGAGUAACGCGUAUCCAACCUGCCCUUCACCACGGGAUAACCCGGCGAAAGUCGGACUAAUACCGUAUGUUGUCCAUUGACGGCAUCCGAUUUGGACGAAAGGCUUAGCGGUGAGGGAUGGGGAUGCGUCCGAUUAGCUUGACGGCGGGGUAACGGCCCACCGUGGCAACGAUCGGUAGGGGUUCUGAGAGGAAGGUCCCCCACACUGGAACUGAGACACGGUCCAGACUCCUACGGGAGGCAGCAGUGAGGAAUAUUGGUCAAUGGGCGGAAGCCUGAACCAGCCAAGUAGCGUGCAGGAUGACGGCCCUAUGGGUUGUAAACUGCUUUUAUGCGGGGAUAAAGGAGCCCACGU